rnacentral:rRNA from 1 species
GAUGAACGCUGGCGGCGUGCCUAAUACAUGCAAGUCGAGCGAAUGGAUUGAGAGCUUGCUCUUAUGAAGUUAGCGGCGGACGGGUGAGUAACACGUGGGUAACCUGCCCAUAAGACUGGGAUAACUCCGGGAAACCGGGGCUAAUACCGGAUAACAUUUUGAACCGCAUGGUUCGAAAUUGAAAGGCGGCUUCGGCUGUCACUUAUGGAUGGACCCGCGUCGCAUUAGCUAGUUGGUGAGGUAACGGCUCACCAAGGCAACGAUGCGUAGCCGACCUGGGAGGGUGAUCGGCACCACUAGGACUGAGACACGGCCCAGACUCCUACGGGAGGCAGCAGUAGGGAAUCUUCCGCAAUGGACGAACGUCUGACGGGGCAACGCCGCGUGAGUGAUGAAGGCUUUCGGGUCGUAAAACUCUGUUGUUAGGGAAGAACAAGUGCUAGUUGAAUAAGCUGACACCUUGACGGUACCUAACCAGGAAGCCACGGCUAACUACGUGCCAGCCGCCGCAGUAA